UACUCUUUCGGCUAGACUAUGACUAUCAGUAGCUUGACCACGACGUGCUCGAACAUGAAUAUAAUCCGGUUUUUGAACCUCAGAAACCUUAGACUUGUCCUUAGAUGAAGUGUUGUUAGAAGCUUCUUUGCUGUUGCUAUUUUGAUCAUGUGUGAUCCUAGAAUCUCCUUCAGAACACCCUUUUAUUUUCUUUUCUUUAUCAGAAACAACCUGAAAGUGCUUUGACCCUUUCUCUUCUUAGGUGACACCGAAGCCGAAACCGAACUCGAAUUCC
rnacentral:lncRNA from 1 species